rnacentral:rRNA from 1 species
CGGCACGGGUGAGUAACACGUAUCCAACCUGCCGUCUACUCUUGGACAGCCUUCUGAAAGGAAGAUUAAUACAAGAUGGCAUCAUGAGUCCGCAUGUUCACAUGAUUAAAGGUGUUCCGGUAGACGAUGGGGAUGCGUUCCAUUAGAUAGUAGGCGGGGUAACGGCCCACCUAGUCUUCGAUGGAUAGGGGUUCUGAGAGGAAGGUCCCCCACAUUGGACUGAGACACGGCCCAA